rnacentral:rRNA from 1 species
GGGAAGGGGGGGGAAGGAGCGGGGAGAAAGUGGAGGGGGGGGGCGGUAAGCGGGAUGACUGGGCGGAAGGCGGACGGAGGUGGCGACGGAAGUCGGGUGUGAAAGCCCCGGGCUCAAACUGGGAAUUGCAUUCGAGACUGCAUUGCUGGAGUACGGAAGAGGAAGGCGGAAUUCCCGGUGUAGCGGUGAAAUGCGUAGAUAUCGGGAGGAACAUCAGUGGCGAAGGCGGCCUUCUGGUCCAGUACUGACACUCAAGUGCGAAAGCGUGGGGAGCAAACAGGAUUAGAUACCCGAGUAGUC